CCAGGCCCGACUCCCUAGGCAUGGAGCUCCGCCGUUCCAGAUCUGACGCCAAGACCUCCUUUUUCUGAAGAAUCUGUCCUCCUCCUCCAUGGUGUUGAUGGUGAAGGCCCCUCCUCCGUCGCGGUGCCGACCUCCUCCCGAUCCCCCACCAUCUAAGCUUCUUUCGGUAGCGUUUGAAACUCUCACUUCCAUCAUCCCACCUGAACCACCAGAUCCUCCAGACUCGUUAUUCGUCCUUGUUCAUCGUCUUCGGCCUUUGGCCUCGUUCUCUAGCGACUUCCAUAGCGUCUCUCUCGGAGCACUUACCCUAGCUUGGGAUUUCAAGUCUCCUCUCUCAGAUCUAGCGAUUAAUUCCAUUGGGAGUGCUGCUUCUCCUAGACCAUCGUACCUCUCCAACAAGCCUUGUGAAGGUAUUGUCUAUGUACCUCUUUGGAACAAAUCGUUUUUGAGGAAAGUUCGUUGUGAUGUCUGCCUGUUGAAACUCUAUUUACCUCAGUGUGAGGAUGUUACUCUCUCUUUAACUCUUUGGAUGAGAUCCAGUUUACCUCUGUAUGAGGAUGAUGAACUCCCUGUUAGCACUCUGCUACCUCGUUAUGAGGAUGUUCUCGUUGGUUUGAGUGGCGUUGUUACAGGGGACUUUGUGUUGAAGAAGAUAAUCUCAGAUGCAGAAACUAUGACCUCACUAGCUCUUUUUUCAGCAAUCUUUGAUACUGACCUCUUGGCCAUGAUGACCCUUGAGACUUUAAUGUCUUUCCUUUGUGAAAUUGUCUGGAACUGUCAAGAUGCAAAGGAUGUUUCUCUAGUGUUGGUGGGAUCUUCACUCCAAUUUUUGAAUAUAUGUAUAUUUUUAAUGAAUUUUUGAUAUAAAUUAAUUUUAAACUAUUAUUUUGAUUUGAAUAUGCAUAUCAAAUAAUAUAAGCUCAUUAUUGUUUUUAAAUAUAAUGUAAUAGACUUCAAAAAAUUUUAAUAGCAUAAGUCCAUUAUUUUUUUCAUAACUUACUGCUAUCCAUGUUUUCAAACAUCAUUAUAUUUAUUUUUUUACUACUAUUCAUGUUUCCAAACAAAUACUAAAGAUACUUCUACUUUAAUAAGAUGGAUGAUUAACAAGUUGUAUGCUAGAGACCAUAUGUUUGGUGGAUGGCUUUUAAACUUUUACAUUGCGAUUCAGUGGUUAUGGUUGGGUCUGGAAAGACAUGUUUGGAAAAUUUCAGCUAAUAAGUACAAGAAAUCUAUGAAGACAAGAGACCUAUUUGCAUUCCAAGUUAAAAGCACUAAUUUGGAUAAUAGAAAGUAUGCUACUUAAAAAGCUCCCAGGCCCGACUCCCUAGGCAUGGAGCUCCGCCGUUCCAGAUCUGACGCCAAGACCUCCUUUUUCUGAAGAAUCUGUCCUCCUCCUCCAUGGUGUUGAUGGUGAAGGCCCCUCCUCCGUCGCGGUGCCGACCUCCUCCCGAUCCCCCACCAUCUAAGCUUCUUUCGGUAGCGUUUGAAACUCUCACUUCCAUCAUCCCACCUGAACCACCAGAUCCUCCAGACUCGUUAUUCGUCCUUGUUCAUCGUCUUCGGCCUUUGGCCUCGUUCUCUAGCGACUUCCAUAGCGUCUCUCUCGGAGCACUUACCCUAGCUUGGGAUUUCAAGUCUCCUCUCUCAGAUCUAGCGAUUAAUUCCAUUGGGAGUGCUGCUUCUCCUAGACCAUCGUACCUCUCCAACAAGCCUUGUGAAGGUAUUGUCUAUGUACCUCUUUGGAACAAAUCGUUUUUGAGGAAAGUUCGUUGUGAUGUCUGCCUGUUGAAACUCUAUUUACCUCAGUGUGAGGAUGUUACUCUCUCUUUAACUCUUUGGAUGAGAUCCAGUUUACCUCUGUAUGAGGAUGAUGAACUCCCUGUUAGCACUCUGCUACCUCGUUAUGAGGAUGUUCUCGUUGGUUUGAGUGGCGUUGUUACAGGGGACUUUGUGUUGAAGAAGAUAAUCUCAGAUGCAGAAACUAUGACCUCACUAGCUCUUUUUUCAGCAAUCUUUGAUACUGACCUCUUGGCCAUGAUGACCCUUGAGACUUUAAUGUCUUUCCUUUGUGAAAUUGUCUGGAACUGUCAAGAUGCAAAGGAUGUUUCUCUAGUGUUGGUGGGAUCUUCACUCAUGGUUGGAGCUUUG
rnacentral:lncRNA from 1 species